UACAAACAAUCCUAACCCUAUUUCUUCUUCUUCAUUCUUUCUCUUUUACACGAUUUCGAUCUCAAGCUUUGGAAACCAAUCUCUCUCCCUCGUCUCGAUCUCGCGAAACCAAUUUUCAGUGAUGUGAGAUCUCUCGUCCUUGGUUACUUCUGAUCCGAAGUUGAAUCUCUACCUCGCUAGCUUUUUGGGCAGAGCUUCAAGGUUCAUAACCAAGACUAAACCGGAGAAGACUUGGUCCAAGUGUCAUAGAUAAAAGAUACGAUCAUGUGUUCCUAAGUUUUAGGGAAAUGAUCUCCACAUUCCCAUUUAUCCAUGUUCCUAGUUUGUAGGAUUUGUGAAUGAUCCUUUUGCUUUCUUUGUGUAUUUAAGAACUUCAAAGUCAUGAGAAUGGAUUAGACUUGAAAAUUGACAAAACAGAGUUUAUCUCUUUACUCUUUAGUUACAUGUUCUUAUGUGUUCUUGUGUUAAACAAAACACUUCUCUCUGGCUUUGAGGAGGGACCACCUAUCACUCAUCAACUUGGUGGGUUUUUUUUCGUUAUUCUCUAAGUAUCCAUGGAGCUUGUCUUCUCAUUGAUUCAUAAAUCCAUCCAUAUUUCUGUUGCUUUGCAGAAAGUCUUGAAAUUGUUAAAAUGAAUUAGUUUUGUUUUAGCUUUUCUGUUCUCUGUUUUUGUUAUAGCUUUGAUUUUGAUGCAAUGGAUUAGUUUCUAAAGAGUUUUUGUACAAUGGGUGUGUUUAGUUUUGCCGUUGUUGAUUCUUGUAUUUGGCAUCUUGUAUUCUUUGUUUUCUCUUCUUGAUUGGUCAGAUCCUUAAGAAUCCAUUAACCCAUUUAACUUUUAGAUUUUGUUUAGUGAAGAUUUGUAGGGACUGGUUCAUGUUUGAUCUUUGGGGUUAUCUUAUAUCUAGACGACAUGUUCAUGUUUGUAUGUAUAAUUCGAUUGUAGUAUUGAUACAUUGAGAAGAAAACUGAUUUGAGUUUAUCUGGAACCUUUGAUGAGGAGAUUGUAGAGUCAAUCACUUAAUUAUGAUGUUGAGAUUUGAGCCGUUAACAACAGAUUAUGAAACCAACAUUGUAUUAUAGCUAAAGUUCAGGUAUAAAGACGAAAGACAUGACUUUGGGAGAUUAGCUAAAAGCUAGUCUUUUUCUUGUUUGCGUCAUCUGCUAUUUUCCCAUUAUAGUUCAUAAGAAACUUUGUUUUGAAGAACUUGUCAAGGGUUCACAGUAUUGUAGUUCAUAAGAGACUUUGUUUAAGGAAAGUUCAUAUUAGUUACUGUUUCAUGUCUUCACUAACGCUUGUUAAUUGACUCUCAUGCUUUAUGAUUCUGUCUCUUGCUUCACGAAAGUAAAGUCCACCUUUAGUUGUCAAAAUGAGUAGUACAACUAAAGGUUAGUACUAUUGAUAUAUGAUCUCUGACGUUAAAGGCUUAAAGCUGAAGAAGAAGAAGAAGGAGAAGAAGGAGAAGAAUAACAUAUUGCAUAUGAGUCGAUCGGUGAUAGAGGCAUAGAGCGAUGGAAGCUUAGCAUGACAACAUUACCAAUGAAUGUAAUAAAGGUCGUUUACCUUAUUAGAUAUUUUUUUAUUUUUUUUUGUUUAUGACUUGGUUUAUUAUUUAUUUUAGUUAAUGACUUUGUCUAUCUUUAUUGUUUAUGACUUGGUAUAUUACGUUUAGUUAACUGUU